rnacentral:rRNA from 1 species
GACGAACGCUGGCGGCGUGCCUAACACAUGCAAGUCGAGCGGACAGAAGGGAGCUUGCUCCCGGAAGUCAGCGGCGGACGGGUGAGUAACACGUGGGCAACCUGCCCUGCAGAUUGGGAUAACUCCGGGAAACCGGGGCUAAUACCGAAUAACAUUGGAAACCUCAUGGUUUCCUUUUAAAAGGCGGCUUCGGCUGUCACUGCAGGAUGGGCCCGCGGCGCAUUAGCUAGUUGGUGAGGUAACGGCUAACCAAGGCGACGAUGCGUAGCCGACCUGAGAGGGUGAGCGGCCACACUGGGACUGAGACACGGCCCAGACUCCUACGGGAGGCAGCAGUAGGGAAUCUUCCGCAAUGGACGAAAGUCUGACGGAGCAACGCCGCGUGAGUGAAGAAGGUUUUCGGAUCGUAAAACUCUGUUGUCAGGGAAGGACAAGUACGGUAGUAACUGCCCGUACCUUGACGGUACCUGGCCAGAAAGCCACGGCUAACUACGUGCCAGCCGCCGCGGUAAUAC